rnacentral:rRNA from 1 species
UACGGAGGGGGCAAGCGUUGUUCGGAUUUACUGGGCGUAAAGGGCGCGUAGGCGGGAUGGUAGGUCCAUUGUGAAAGUGCUACCGCUCAACGGAGCAAAGCCAAUGGAAACCCCCAUUCUUGAGAUCGGGAGAGGUGAGUGGAAUUGCUGGUGGAGCGGUGGAAUGUAUAGAUAUCAGCAAGAACACCGGUGGCGAAGGCGGCUCACUGGCCCGAUUCUGACGCUGAGUGCGCGAAAGCGUGGGGAGCAAACGGGAUUAGAUACCCGAGUA